rnacentral:piRNA from 1 species
GCCAUUGAUGAAGCUCCUUUGUCAUUUUACA